UGGGGAAUUUUGGACAAUGGGCGCAAGCCUGAUCCAGCCAUUCCGCGUGCAGGAUGAAGGCCCUCGGGUUGUAAACUGCUUUUGUACGGAACGAAACGGCUGUCUCUAAUACACGAGGGCUAAUGACGGUACCGA
rnacentral:rRNA from 1 species